AAUUUUACUAUCACCAAUUGAAGCUCGGAUGGUUGACGGAUACAUUUGCCCAUGUCAUUCCUGAAGAUGAUCAGACGGCUGUCUAUAAGGCCCAUCUCAAUCACUUAUAUUCUGACCUGGGAGAGAAGAUGAAUCCCAGACAUGCUUCUAUGACCAUUUUCCUCACCUGGAUCCGCCUUUGAAGGACCUGGACCCACCUCAAUGCUGUUUCACGCUAUGGCAUCCUGAUAUCCGCUACCCCACUCCUCGCGUUUCAGAGGAUAACUGGAAGGCUGAUAUUGAUGGUCCCAACAUGGAUGAUUUCCGGUUCGUGCCAUAGUCUCAUACCCAUAUAUUUUUUAUCUUGUCGGCUGGGAUGGUGUACGAGGUAUCUCGCCAACGCCACUUACUGUCUAAGCCUGUUGUGUACAAGCGGUACCUAG